AUGUCAAUGUGUAGAGAAGUUCUCUCCAGAUUGGGGUGCUGGAUACGAGGCAGCAACAGUUGGAGAUGCCCAGGUUUGAAGGUGACACAUUUAACAGCAGGUCAGGAUGAUCUCAGUGGGUUUUGCACACAGAUUGGAUUGCUGCCCACCAAAAAAGCAACUAAAAAACCACCAAAAACCAUUUUUCACCCCCCAAACUAUAAAUCACAUUUGCAAAAAUGAAGCAGCCUUUCAGAGCAGAAAAGGAGACUUCCUCUCGGGCAGUUGCACUUUGUGUUUCCAAUCUUAUCAGUGACACUUUCUCACAGGCAGCUUCAGUUCCACUCAGCUAUCGUUUUCAUUCGCAAAACAAACUGCGCUGCAAAACUACGACUCGCAUUCUACAUGUGUAGCACCUCGUGAACUCUAUUAAAUCCAGCAGGAAUUGCUGCACAGAGUUUUUGUGCAGGCCUGCUUUUCUCAGUCUCUAGCUCUGUCUGCAGCCGCUGAACUGUGAGUUCCUGACCCUUCUUUAAAAACCCUAUAGGAAGAGUAAUACACCUACAGUCAUACGUAGCAACUUCAUAAAGACAGAGAAGGGGGGGGGGGGGGGGGGAAAGGGGGAGAAUGAUUUUAAAACAUCCUUAGUUUGCAAAAGAAAACCAACACUGUUAAUGGGACAGAUCCUCCUCGCGUACGCAGAUUCCUUCGCAGUGAUUGGGAGCGUGAAACUUACACCCCCUCCAAUGCUUUUCUACAUGGCCGAAGUGGUGUAAAACAGCUCAAGUCAAAUGACAAUUAAGCUUAUUACUUAAGACAGCCUUCUUACUUUUUUUUUGCCAUUCUCCUCCCCCCUUUUCUACCCCCCCAACCUUCCUUAAACCGCUUGCCCUUGACCACUGGGCAGAAAGAAGGAGGGGGGUGAGAGGAGGAGGAGGAGGAGAGACUCCUUAAGACAAUUUUGAAACAGUCCAGUACUUUCCUGAUCGCUCCGCAAAGUUGAAAUAUGAUUUCAACCUUUUUUUUUUUUUUUUUUUUUGCAUACAGAAAGAACCCAUUUAAAUGAAAAAUUAGCUGCCUUAACAGGUCAAGCACACAGUUACAUUAAUGUUGUGUAGAACAAUAAAUCAACUUCGAUCUCCA
rnacentral:lncRNA from 1 species